rnacentral:rRNA from 1 species
GAGUUUGAUCAUGGCUCAGGAUGAACGCUAGCGGCAGGCUUAACACAUGCAAGUCGAGGGUAGAGUAGCAAUACUUGAGACCGGCGCACGGGUGCGUAACGCGUAUGCAACCUACCUUUUACAGAGGGAUAGCCCAGAGAAAUUUGGAUUAAUACCUCAUAGUAUAUGUCUUUCGCAUGUUAGACAUAUUAAAGUUCCAACGGUAAAAGAUGGGCAUGCGUCCUACUAGCUAGAUGGUAAGGUAACGGCUUACCAUGGCAACGAUAGGUA